rnacentral:rRNA from 1 species
ACGGAGGGUGCGAGCGUUGUCCGGAAUCACUGGGCGUAAAGGGCGCGUAGGCGGCCUGAUAAGUAGGGGGUGAAAUCUUGCGGCUUAACCGCAAGGCUGCCUUCUAAACUGUCAGGCUAGAGCACAGUAGAGGCAGGUGGAAUUCCAGGUGUAGCGGUGAAAUGCGUAGAUAUCUGGAGGAACACCGGUGGCGAAGGCGGCAUCCUGGACCGGUAUUGACGCUGAGGCGCGAAAGCCAGGGGAGCAAACGGGA